GGGAGAUGGCUGAUUGAAACAGAAAGUAAAGUUGUUCUUUUGUACAGGAUCCAUUUUGAGACGACAGAGCAGAAAACACUAUAUGGAGAUUAUUGAAAAAUAAAGGGUCACUGCUCUAAAAUGAGUCUCUCUGGGGAGAGAGAGGAGGGGGGCCCUGUCUCUAAAAUGCAUCUCUCUGGGGGACAUGACACCAAAGCUAAGAGCCCAAUCAAGCAGGAGAGACCAGCCUCCCCUGUAUCCAGCUGGGAGAGUGACCGGUCUAUGAGUCCUCCUCCAAAGUUUAGAAAGGGAGACUUUUCUACUGAACAAAGACCAAUCAAGCAGGAGAGACCAGCCUCCCCUGUUCCCAGCUGUGUGUCCGUGAAGAGUGA